rnacentral:rRNA from 1 species
UACGUAGGGGGCAAGCGUUAAUCGGAAUUACUGGGCGUAAAGCGUGCGCAGGCGGCUAUGCAAGACAGAUGUGAAAUCCCCGGGCUCAACUUGGGAACUGCAUUUGUGACUGCAUGGCUAGAGUACGGUAGAGGGGGAUGGAAUUCCGCGUGUAGCAGUGAAAUGCGUAGAUAUGCGGAGGAACACCGAUGGCGAAGGCAAUCCCCUGGACCUGUACUGACGCUCGUGCACGAAAGCGUGGGGAGCAAACAGG